rnacentral:lncRNA from 1 species
GUGCCAGGUGCUUUGCCUGGAGUUGACCACCUUCCAUCCUUUCCACAACCUGUAAGGAAGGUGGAAUUAUCCCCAUUUCUCAGAUGAGCAACGGCCCUGCCCAGAACUCUUGACUUGCCCGAGGUCAUAUGGCUUGGUAGCUAUAGAGCUGGGAUUUGAGCCCAGGUCUCCGGACGGAGCUCUCCGACCGAGCUAAAAGAAAGGAAACUCCUUAGAACUAGGUAAAGAAACACACAGGAGAACUAAAGACCAUAGGAUAAAGGCUACGGGCAAAGCAUUUGGGAAUUAACAGAAAAAAAAAAAAAAGAGUUCGUGAAAUCUCCCGUCACUUAAUUUCAAAUCUAAGACCGCAUUUACACUGCCUUCUACGUCUGGCUCUGGGGGCGAGGUGUUGGGAGGUGGAGAGAAGACUGCGCCAGGGCUGGGCAGAGGCGGCUGGGGACACCUUCUCAGCGGAUCCGCCUGCUGGGAGUGGGGGUGGGGUGGGGUGAGGAGAAGUUGUGGAGGGAACUCAGUUGUUAUUCAUCGCCAAUGUUAGUCAUCCCUUCACCUCACCCCAACCCGUGGAUUCUAUUUCCUUCCUUUACUCCGUGUUUUGUCCAAGAUGACAGUGGUCAAAUUGAAGCUGGUCCUACUACCAUCACUAUGUUUCACCACGGGUCUUGGCAUCCGGUGGUCCUGUGCUUCCGUGACUGUGUUAGGAGCUGUGAGAGCAGAGAAGAGCCAGGGCACUGCCAUUGUGUCCAUCCCACUUGGAGGGUCUGAGAUGGAGGAGGGCUGCUCAGUCCACGUGGAAUUCAUACGGGCAAGAACUCUUCUAAUGGUAGCUGCUGCCUGAGGCUCCUACCUACCUGCCAUGUGGCACUGUCCCUGUGGGGUGCCAACGCCGAAGUCAGUCCAUCCUCCAUUUCCCCAUCCUGUGCUGAGAGCUUGGGAUCUUACACCUGUGACCUCCUUUAAUGCUUCCUGUGUGCAAACUCUCCUUCUGCCUUCGGUGGUUUGAUUAAUAUUAAAGUACAAUUUAUUUAUGUGUUUCUGUGGCUUCUAAGUCAUCUGGAAUCCAAAUUCAUUUUACUUCCAAUUAUUAACCAAUUUUUUCAAUAUUGAAUAAAAAUGAUUCUUAC